AUGGACCGCUUCCUCCCUGCGGCUAACUCCAUCGCCAGGCCGUCCACGGAGAAGCGCGCCAAUAAAUCCCCGCGCCGCGCCGCGCGUCGCUCUGAGCACGAUGACGACGAGGCACCGGCAACGGCCAGGCUCGAGAUGCACAUGCCACGCCGCAAGCGCCACGUCCCCACUCUCCAGCAGGAGGAUGAGAGCUGGAAUGGCAUGCCACCGCAGGAGAUAGCGUGGCGCCACGAGGAGGAGGCGCGAGGCGACGAGACACCUCCGAGGUCGUGCGGGUUCACAGUGCUCUUUCCUUGCUGCGUCAAGCCGGUGCUGUGCGGGUUCCGUGGAGCCCGGCGUGCCCGCGGGCCACGCGCACCUCCCCUCGCCGGAGCACCACGAUGGGCGACGUCCUAG
rnacentral:rRNA from 1 species